rnacentral:rRNA from 1 species
UUGCCUGGCGGCAGUAGCGCGGUGGUCCCACCUGACCCCAUGCCGAACUCAGAAGUGAAACGCCGUAGCGCCGAUGGUAGUGUGGGGUCUCCUCAUGCGAGAGUAGGGAACUGCCAGGCAUC